GAGAGUUAAAAUUUUAACAUAUCUGAAAAUAAAUAAUUUCUGAGCAUGUUUGUAUUUUCAGUUAAAUAUAAGCAGAACUGAGUCAAACCUCAGCCUUUCUGUGAUGCCAUCUUACACACUUGGUCCAGGACCAGGUUGAACAACUGCAAAAACAGUCCCUAAGACAAAUCACAGAAUGACAAUGUGGGUGCAUGCACACGUUAAAGAGUGGUUUGUCUUAAAGGAGAGAAAAUGUUUUCUGUUAUAAACCAAACUACUUUUAUUUAUAUUCUUUGUCCAGUUGUAAAUUUAAGCUGUGUCACUGGGAUUGAGAGCUACUCAAUGAUUCAGUACAUCUUCUGUUUUGAAGGCGCCUUAAAUUUAAAGUAAACCUUAUAAGGGAAUUUCAUCUAAGGGAAACAAAGUGAACAGCCAAAAUAGAAACCUUUAACAUGAUUCUGAGGACAACUGUAGCCCAUGUUAGCAUUUAGAGAUUCCUGAUGUAGCAAGAGCUCACAUUGUCUUUUCAUCUGUAUUAUCACUAUGCUUUUACCUCCACUGCUUUUCUCUCUACUUGUCAUGACUUGGUGUUGUCCCAGCAAGAAAUUUAAGCUCAGAUUUCAAUGACCAUUUCCUGUUUGGCUCGGCUGCUAAUACUUCAGCAAAGCCAAAAACUUAGAAAAGAGCAGGCCAGACGGAAUACAAGCUAUGAUGCUGGUCAUAGCUGAGGCGCUGAUGACAAACUAUUGUGUCAUAAUGUAGCUACCUUGCAGAGAGUGCAUAGGUCCCAAUCCAGGAAGCAGAAGGCAAUGUAUUUCCUGAACCAGAAGCCAUCUGGCUUCAUUUUGCAUUCUGCAAUAAGAAUCUCAGUGUUCAUCAUCCCAAGUCUGGCAAAUGACUUGGUCUCAUUAAAGGCACUUCAAGCAACUAUAUGCAAGAUAUGGCUGGUGCCAGUGAAAAGUCAGAGAAAUCGCUAGUCACUUGGCUCUGUGGCAGUGGUAUAUUCAACACUUUGCUGUGAGAUAUUUUUAAUUGUCUUGCUUCCCAUAUAAUCCAUCUACCUUUGAUUUGCAAGCCUCAGCCUGCUCAUCUGCAUCUAUGAAAGGAGGUCAGUGUGGACACUGGCAACCUCAUUCAGCCUCUGAACCAUUCACUCCAGCUACAUGAGUGUUACAGUUUGGGAACACGGCGCUAAUUGAAAACCUUUCAGAGGAACUCAGUCGCACUCUAUAGUCUGCAAAACUGAGACAGACAUUUAAAGAAAGUUAAAUGGAACACAUCCAGUUGGGGAAAGGCGGUUAUUCAUUACAGCAGGGAUUUCAAGAACCACAUGACCACCCAUCUCCAAAAUCCUCAUUAUCUGCCUGAAGUAUCUGUCAAAAAAAGAGGCAAAAGAACUAGAUUAAAUUUGGGGAGAAUUCUCAUUGUUGCAAGGAAACAUCCUAGAGGACGAAUGAGCUAUUGACAUUCUCUCCUGAAGCAAGAAGCUGUCCCAGGAGAUCCAUAAGAAGCAAGAAAUAACAACAAAGACUGAAAAAUAAAUUGAUGAAACCAGAGAUGACUGCAGACCUGCAAAUAGCUUUUCACACUGUUGCAGUUACUGUUUGAAUUGAAUAGUUUAGAUUUGCAAAUUGAUGGAGAAAUCCAUUCAUUUCUUAAAAAAAAAAAAUGGUGUGAAGAACAGAUUUUACAUUAAACCCAAGUUUAAAAUAAAUACCAACACUUAUACUUAGUCUGCAGAAUCAUACCUUGUGUUGAGAGGACAAACCACGAUAUAAUUCAAGCCAUAGGGUUUAAUACUUCAGCUAAGGUUCAUUGUUUCGGUGUUCACAAGUUUGGUUUCUGAUGUUUUAUAUAGGAUUAGAUUGUAAAUCACUCAAGCAUGUUAAUUAGCUUCCCUCUGACCUGCUUUACAUCAAUUCCAUGUAUCAAUACUCCUUGUCUUAGUUUAUUAAUCUUGCAUAAGGUCUGUUUACAACAGUGAAAAGUCUAAUUCAUUACACAGAGGAUCGGCAACAUUGAAGAUCAUUACACAUACAGGUGUAUUUAAACAUAUGUGCUGUUAUGGCAAAUUUGGGAAAUCAAAAGAGCUUGUAACUAUCGAAGCCUCCAGCAGACAUAAAAUAUUUCAUGAAAAUUAUUUAAAACCUAGCAGCGAUUAUGUAGAGCUUUGCCCUUGGUGAAGGCUGCUGUCACAAGCCCCCUGCUUUAAUUCCUCCUCGUUCUCCUCGCUGCAGGCUGCUGUCAGUGCGCAGGCUCAAGUCAGAAGCUUCAGAAACACUACAGAUAUUUCCCUUCCUACAAAAGGCACCCUCACAUAAAAAAUCUUCUCGACAUCCCAAAAUAUUACAAAGAAACAAUAAUUAUGGCUAAUUACUGACUCCUGGUACACUUAUUUGUGGUCUACAAUUUCAAAAGACUGAAUAGAAGACAGGUGCAUAAAAUAGGCUUAAUGAGAACACCAGAAAAUAGUUGCCUUAGCUGUAAAUUACCACUUUUACGUGCUGUAUUUUAUUUUUAAAAGUAAAUGUGUUGCUCAUAAAAGAUAUGAAAUUAGUAAGGCUAGAAACAGAGUUCUUUUAUUCCACCCCAGAAAAGGCAGAACAUGUCACCAGUGGUACUGAAAGCUCUCUAACGACAUAAUAUUAAUAUUCACUAAUACCUAGUGGGACAAAUGAGUCUUGCUUGGCAUUACUUUCAAAGAGUUUCAUUCACCAUCUAGAUUUGGUGUAAACUUCAUCAUUUCUAAUACGGUGAUCAUUUUUCCCUCCCUAACUCAUCAAUUCCUUCCUGGUUCAUCUUUCCUUUUUGGCUUAUCUCUUAGGCAAGGCUACCAUCUGUUUUUGGCUCUUUCCUUCCAAGGAAAUUCUUCAUUCAGUAUUAUGUUUCUGCCCUUCUCCUGCCUCAAAGAGGGGCCCCUUCCUUCACAAUGCGUAAUUUCCUUUGUUAUUCAGUGGCCCUUAUAAGUAUUGGACUUCUUCUCAGGGCUCCCACUUUCAGGUUCUUCCUCUGUCACUUAGCAAGGGACAAAGCCCUCAGACUGCACAUCUGUGCUUCCCUCUCCUCCUGCACUGAACACAAGCUGCUGAUGUAGAGGGAAGUGAUUCCCCUCUGUCUCCUGCCUUUGUUGUGCCUCAUUUUGCAGGAUCUCUCUGCCAGCUAGAUGCCGGAUCAGACAAUGUGAGAUGAGAGGCAGCAGCUGAAAGCAAAAAAGCUUUAACCUGUGUUGGGAGGCUUGCCUUUCAGCUGCAGAUAAUUCCUCCUUG